rnacentral:rRNA from 1 species
AGAGUUUGAUCCUGGCUCAGAACGAACGCUGGCGGCGUGCUUAACACAUGCAAGUCGAGCGCGAAAGGGGCCUUCGGGCCCUGAGUAGAGCGGCAGACGGGUGAGUAACACGUGGGUAACCUGUCCCGAGGCGGGGAAUAACCACUGGAAACGGUGGCUAAUACCGCAUGAGACCACGACUCUGCGGAGUCAUGGUUAAAGGCUUCGGCCACCUUGGGAGGGGCCCGCGGCCGAUUAGCUAGUUGGUGAGGUAACGGCUCACCAAGGCGACGAUCGGUAGCUGGUCUGAGAGGAUGAUCAGCCACACUGGUACUGAGACACGGACCAGACUCCUACGGGAGGCAGCAGCAAGGAAUUUUGGGCAAUGGGCGAAAGCCUGACCCAGCGACACCGCGUGAGGGAAGAAGGCCUUCGGGUUGUAAACCUCUUUUCCUGGGGAAGAAUUAUGACGGUACCCAGGGAAUAAGCCUCGGCCAACUACGUGCCAGCAGCCGCGGUAAUACGUAGGAGGCGAACGUUAUUCGGAUUUAUUGGGCGUAAAGUGAGCGUAGGCGGUUCCUUAAGUCGAAUGUGAAAUCUUCUGACUCAAUCAGAAGGCGCCAUUUGAUACUGGGGGACUUGAGAGCAGCAGAGGAAAAUGGAAUUCCCGGUGUAGCGGUGAAAUGCGUAGAUAUCGGGAAGAACACCAGUGGCGAAGGCGAUUUUCCAGGCUGUUUCUGACGCUGAGGCUCGAAAGCGUGGGGAGCGAAGCGGAUUAGAUACCCGCGUAGUCCACGCCCUAAACGGUGGACACUGGAUAUAGGAGGUAUCGACCCUUUCUGUGUCGAAGCUAACGCUUUAAGUGUCCCGCCUGGGGAGUACGGCCGCAAGGCUGAAACUCAAAGGAAUUGACG